UGUCCUACGGGGGGCAGCAGUGGGGGAUAUUGCACAAUGGGGGGAACCCUGAUGCAGCGACGCCGCGUGGGUGAAGAAGCGCCUCGGCGCGUAAAGCCCUGUCAGCAGGGAAGAAAAUGACGGUACCUGAAGAAGAAGCCCCGGCUAACUACGUGCCAGCAGCCGCGGUAAUACGUAGGGGGCAAGCGUUAUCCGGAUUUACUGGGUGUAAAGGGAGCGUAGACGGCCAGACAAGUCAGAAGUGAAAGCCCAGGGCUCAACCCUGGGACUGCUUUUGAAACUGCCGGGCUGGAGUGCAGGAGAGG
rnacentral:rRNA from 1 species